rnacentral:rRNA from 1 species
UACGUAGGGUGCGAGCGUUGUCCGGAAUUAUUGGGCGUAAAGGGCUCGUAGGCGGUCUGUCACGUCGGGAGUGAAAACUCAGGGCUUAACCCUGAGCCUGCUUCCGAUACGGGCAGACUAGAGGUAUGCAGGGGAGAACGGAAUUCCCGGUGUAGCGGUGAAAUGCGCAGAUAUCGGGAGGAACACCGGUGGCGAAGGCGGUUCUCUGGGCCUUACCUGACGCUGAGGAGCGAAAGCGUGGGGAGCGAACAGG